UGUGGGAGCUGGCUUGCCUGCGAUGACGGUGUGUCAGUUGGCAAAAGUGUCGGCUGACACACCGUCAUCGCAGGCAAGCCAGCUCCCACA
rnacentral:misc_RNA from 1 species